UACGUAGGGUGCAAGCGUUGUCCGGAAUUAUUGGGCGUAAAGAGCUCGUAGGCGGUUUGUCGCGUCUGCUGUGAAAACUCGGGGCUUAACCCCGGGCCUGCAUUCGAUACGGGCUGACUAGAGUUCGGCAGGGGAGACUGGAAUUCCUGGUGUAGCGGUGAAAUGCGCAGAUAUCAGGAGGAACACCGGUGGCGAAGGCGGGUCUCUGGGCCGAUACUGACGCUGAGGAGCGAAAGCGUGGGGAGCAAACAGG
rnacentral:rRNA from 1 species